GGAGCCCUGUCCAUCUCAGCUGCCCAUCUAGGGACGUAGGUUUCGCCUCACUGGCCCUGGGGCUGCCCAGGGACCCCGCAGCCCUGCAUCUAAAACAUGCAGGUGCCUGUGUGGGGCACCUUAGGGCCUAAGAGGGAGGGGGGUGCCUGCCUGCCCAGAUUUUUUGCCACUUGCAGGUGACCCCAAGGCGCUGCUUUUUUUUUUUUUCUCAGUGGGCUUUGCUGCCCAGGGAACCUGAUCUCCUGCCUUACGGGAAAGUGCCACUGGGGGUGUUGCAUCUAAGUGUGACAUUGGGCACCAUGUCUGGGUUUUCAUGAAGAGCCCUGCUUUUCCAAGGACGAUGAAACCCGGGGCUGCACUGGGGACACCAGGUAAGGUAGCCUCUCCCUGCUUCCUGCCGGCCCACAGAGAGUCACGGACAGGUGGCCACUGGGAUCCUCGGAGGGUAGAGGCCGGGCUGGGGGAGUGCCAAACCCAGGUCACACAUUGGUGCGGGGUGUGUGGUCCUAGGACCCACCCUCACGUCCCCUGGGCCGCACUGAGCACCCUGGGGGUUGGGAGGGCUGCCGGUGAGCGCCUGUCAUUUACGUGCAGCCCACAGCUCCCGCAGAAUGGUUGGGGAGGCGCCUAUCCUGCCAGGCCUUGACCCCCGGCUGGCCGAGAGCAUACGUGUGCACUUCCCCACAAGGCGGCACCCAGGUGCCAGCUCGUCAGCCCAGGGCCGGCCGCACACACAUGGGGUGGCUUCCAGGAGUGCCCCCACAGCCUCCUGACCUUCUGGAAGGCCUGUAAUACUUGCCGGUGUGCUUUCCAGACUCAUCCUUCGUUAGUGCUGCCCUCAGUUCAUGUCCUCAGCUGGUAGGCAGGCCCCGGGUGGGUCCCAGGGUGUGGCUGUGGUUCGUUCCUGUCUUCACCAGGAUUGAUGAAGCACCUGCUUUGUGCCAGGGGAUUUUGUGGGCAAACACCAUGGAGCUGAGACACUCACCAUGCUGGGGGGUGGGGGGUCCCGGAAGGCACCUUUGAGGAGGUGACGUUAAGCUGAGACCUGAAGGUUCCCACUGCUUGAAGAGGAAAGGCCACCCCCCCAGGGGGGGGGGGUAGUGGGGGACAACAUGUACAAAGGCCCUGAGACCCUAGAGCACAGGAUGGGUGAUGUACGUGAACAUUCUAGACCUAGGCCCCUGGCAGAGGCUCCAAGGGCACCUGGGAAGAAGGAAGUGUAGGCUGAUGUGCACCCUGAAAGCCUACAAGACCUGGCCAGUCUGGGCCUGGAGGGCCCCAGGGACACCUCUUCCAGGCAAAGGGCCCCCAACUCCCCCAGCCCUUGGCUUCUAGGGGUGCAUAGGAAGUCUGUGUGUGUGUGUGCACCUGCGUGUGUGCACGCGUGUGUGUGCAUGUGUGGCGCUGGACAGGCUGAAUGGGAAGGAAGGGCUGCUGAGGAGGCCACCACGGAGAACGGUACCCCGCUCUCGUUCCUUGCGUUGACCUCUGCCUACCCCCAGCCUGGCCCGCAUCUUGGACAGCCAGGGAGGCCACGUCCACAGUUUGUGCAGACUUUCAGAGAAAGGCACCGGGCGCAGGCCACAUGGGCCCGUGAGCCCCAGGGACGGCAUGUCCCCUGUGUGUCUGCAGCCAUGACCUGGGCCUCUCGGCGAGCCAGCCUGAAGCAGUUGGCAUCACAUCCUGGGAACCCCAGCUCGGUCUCAGAGAUUAAUUGGUGCUUUUAAUUACUGGCUGGUCUGCAGAAACCAAACAUCCAGGACAAAGAUGAGCGAUCAGCUCUGAGCAGUGGCUCCGCAAAGACAGCCCCGUCCUGCCCUGCUGGGUCUCGGAUCGAGAGGCGAGGGGGCUCACAGGGGCGCCAGGAGUCCAGUGGCCCCCAGUAACAGACUCCCAGGGCUCCGGGCCAAGCGUUUUGUUGAAACACCCCUCCCGAUGUAGUUUGCCAGCUGGCGUGGACCUUCUGGUUUGGGUCAAAGCCCUUCCUCGGUUGGGCUGAUGUCCACUUGGAAGCUGGCUGUGUCUGCCCCUCGCCUUCUGUGUGUGCAGAGGCCGCCGGGAGAUCAUGCCCAGAUUCCCCCCUCCCCUGCCUGCAGGACCAGGGUGUUCUGGGCCAGCCCGUGGGGGGUGCUGGUCCUCAGGACACCUCCCGACCGCCGGGUUGGGGUGAAUGUGCUCCAGGCUGCACCUUGUCACCGGCUCUGAGGCCGAUCAGGAAAGCCACCCUGCCCAGGGGUGACCGGGGACGGGACGGGACAGGGCAGUGGGACCCCCUCCUGUGGCGGUUCUUUGAGAAGAUCGGGGGAGAGGGCAAUGCUUAGCCCGGAGGGCUGAGCCCGGCGCACGCUGUCUGCCCAGUGACAUGUGCUGUGCAGAUGUGUCGGGAACAGCUGUGGGCUCUGCUCUGGCUUCCACUCACCCCCUGCUGGACGCGACCCCCCGGCCUCCGGCUGUGCCCAUCCAUCUCUCCUCUCCCCGUCCUGGGCCUGGCUCCUGACUCCACCGGCGACGUUCAGGUCUCAGUGUGUAUCUUUGAUGGCAAGCAGAGACUGCUUCCGCAGCCCAAACCGUCCUCAGGCAGGGUCCUGGGGCCUGCAUGCAGAGCCCUCCUUGGGUGGAGGCGAGUGCCAGGCGUCUGGCCAGAGCUGGCCAGGCACCAGCAUACCACCCGCGGGGAAACUGAGUCCGCUGAGGUGUUAGAGGCUUGGGGUCUGCCUGGGCCUUCCUCUGGACGUUUCCAUCCCGUAAGCCUCGUCUGUGCAGAUGGGCAUUGUGUGAUACCAGGCUCCUAGAUCCCCGGACCCCAGACCCCACCCUCCUCCUGGACCCUCAUUCCCCUGGGCCCCAAACCUUACCCUCAUUCUGGACCAUGGGCCCCCUGGCUCCUAUGGGCUCUUGCCCCUGGACCUCAGUCCCCAGGCCCCCUGCCCUUUCCCACCACCUGGGCCCCAGCCCCAACCCCCGUGCACCAAGCCCCUCUGGGUUCUGGUCCCUGGGCUCCUCUGAGAGGCAGUGGGGCCGGGAGAGGGCUUCUCAACCCCCAUGCAGGAGGGGAGCCAGGAUGUUGAAGGUGACUCCAGAAAACCAGCUUUCGAGCCCAAAUAGGCUGUCGGGAGCUAUGCUUGUCCUUCCGAACUUAACUUUCAGAUUUAAUGAGGCUUCUGGUUCAAGAUGUCGAAGCCGGGACCCCUCGGAAGCAGAGCCCUGUGUCCAUUACGACCGGAAAAGGCCAAUGCUAGCUUGAAAUGAAAAUAUCAGAGAGAAAAAUCCUCUUUCGGAGCGAGGGGCCCCGGAUGGCUCUGCCACCGCGGAAGGUUCCAGAGACGCAGCGGUGCCAGAGGCAAAUUAAAACACACCCUGUCAAAAGAGUU